GGAAGCUUGUUAUUUGUACUUCAUCAGGUGCUCUGUGUUAUUUUUUAUGUUAUGAUGUUUCAGACAUCUGAAGAAGUACAUUUAUCAAGGCUUAACCG
rnacentral:pre_miRNA from 1 species